UGCAAAGAACUUUGAAGAGAGAGUUCAAGAGGACGUGAAACCGCUUGGAAGGAAACGCAUAGAGCUGCGAAAUGCUUGACCGAUUCAGGCUCGGACUAGGUAAAAGUGCGAUUGGUUUGAUCGAAAGACUGCCUUUUGUGCUCUCUGCCUAAGUCUUGGUUGCAUUUUGGUCGAGUUGCAUCAGCUGUCAUGGUCAUACCAAUGCUGCCUUCUGGUUGAAGGUGCUGUCGUAAGACGGUUAUCGGACAGGGGCGUAGCAUUAGUGUUCGGUCACGAUAUUGUUGUGGAGGCGCACGUGCGAAUUGCGUGUACGGUGGGUCCAGACAGGGUGACGUGCUUGCACGAAAGUCUGGCUGCGAUCUAUCGCCGUGCGUUUAUCGCCUUUCACGCAAGCUGGUGAACAAGUCAGUUACCUAUUCGACCCGUCUUGAAACACGGACCAAGGAGUCUAACAUGUAUGCGAGUUGUAGGGUGUAAAACCUGAAAGCGCAAUGAAAGUGAAGCUUAGCGAUACAGGACUCGGUCGUCAUUGGCCGAAGCACUGUAGCCCCGUUCUAUUUGCUUGUCAAAGGAGCGGCGGUAGAGCAUACACGUUGGGACCCGAAAGAUGGUGAACUUCGCUUGAUCAGGGCGAAGCCAGGGGAAACUCUGGUGGAGGCUCGAAACUGUCCUGACGUGCAAAUCGGUAGUCAGAAUUGAGUGAAGGGGCGAAAGACUAAUCGAACCAUCUAGUAGCUGGUUUCCUUCGCA
rnacentral:rRNA from 1 species